AUUGAACGCUGGCGGCAGGCCUAACACAUGCAAGUCGAACGAGUGGCGGACGGGUGAGUAAUGUCUGGGAAACUGCCUGAUGGAGGGGGAUAACUACUGGAAACGGUAGCUAAUACCGCAUACCAUCAGAUGUGCCCAGAUGGGAUUAGCUUGUUGGUGGGGUAACGGCUCACCAAGGCGACGAUCCCUAGCUGGUCUGAGAGGAUGACCCGCCACACUGGAACUGAGACACGGUCCAGACUCCUACGGGAGGCAGCAGGGGGGAAUAUUGGACAAUGGGCGCAAGCCUGAUGCAGCCAUGCCGCGUGUAUGAAGAAGGCCUUCGGGUUGUAAAGUACUUUCGGCGGGGAAGCGUUACCCAAAGAAGAAGCACCGGCUAACUACGUGCCAGCAGCCGCGGUAAUUC
rnacentral:rRNA from 1 species